rnacentral:ncRNA from 1 species
AGUGUCGCAAUAAAAUAUCAACCUAGUACGAGAGGAACUGUUGAUUCACAUAAUUGGUCAUCGUGCUUGGUUGAAAAGUCAACGGUGCGAAGAUAUCGUAUGAUGGAUUAUGAAUGAAUGCCUCUAAGUUAGAAUCUGGGCUAAAAGUAAUGCAUGUGCCCGUCGUUCGCUUGCUGACCCAUAGUAGGGGCCUCAUCCCCUAAGGGCACGUGUCAUUGGCUAAGCCAUCACAACGGAAGGUUCUCGGUAGCCUCCUUGAAGUACAAUUUCCAUCGAGGGGUGGGUAGAAUCCUUUGCAGAUGACUUAAAUACGCGAUGGGGUAUUGUAAGUGGCAGAGAGGCCUUACUUCCACAAUCAAAUUAGAUUCAACCCUUUGUCGCUCUUGUUC